rnacentral:rRNA from 1 species
UACGUAGGGGGCAAGCGUUGUCCGGAUUUAUUGGGCGUAAAGCGCUCGCAGGGGGUCCGCUGCGUCGUGCGUGAAAGACCCCGGCUCAACUGGGGGAUGUCGUGCGAUACGGGCGGACUGGAGGCCAGUAGGGGGAUGCGGAAUUCCGGGUGUAGUGGUGGAAUGCGUAGAGAUCCGGAGGAACACCAGCGGCGAAAGCACUCUGCUGGGCCGACACUGACACUGAGAGACGAAAGCUAGGGGAGCGAAUGGG